CUGCAUCCACUGGUAGACCUUGAACAAAUGUUGUUCUUUUGGUUUGCACUAGGAUGCAGAAGAAAGAAAUUCCUGCGUUUUCUGUUUGUCUUUGUAGCAGCUCAGAUUGAAUUGGGAAAUACGUUU
rnacentral:snoRNA from 1 species